rnacentral:lncRNA from 1 species
UCGAACUAGGGGGCACCCUCACCCCUAGAAGAUGGUAAAGACCACGAGACGGAUGGUGCCCUACGGGAGGAGGACGGACCAACAUGCCUGGCCCUCUUCUAGGCCACCUUCUCGGCAGCCCUCCUCUCCUUCACCUUGUCUUUGAUGGCUUUCUAUGUUGGCAUCAUGGUGGCAAAAGGGAGAGGAAGUUUUUUUUUUUU